rnacentral:rRNA from 1 species
AACGAACGCUGGCGGCAUGCCUAACACAUGCAAGUCGAACGAGACCUUCGGGUCUAGUGGCGCACGGGGGCGUAACGCGGGGGAACUUGCCCUUAGGUUCGGAACAACUCCCCGAAAGGGGUGCUAAUACCGGAUAAUGUCUUCGGACCAAAGAUUUAUCGCCUUUGGAUGGGCCCGCGUUGGAUUAGCUAGUUGGUAGGGUAAAAGCCUACCAAGGCGACGUUCCAUAGCUGGUCUGAGAGGAUGAUCAGCCACACUGGGACUGCGACACGGCCCAGACUCCGACGGGAGGCAGCAGUAGGGAAUAUUGGACGAUGGGCGAAAGCCUGAUCCAGCAAUGCCGCGUGAGUGAUGAAGGCCUUAGGGUUGUAAAGCUCUUUUACCCGGGAUGAUAAUGACAGUACCGGGAGAAUAAGCUCCGGCUAACUCCGUG